rnacentral:rRNA from 1 species
AUUGAACGCUGGCGGCAGGCCUAACACAUGCAAGUCGAGCGGAGCGGCGGACGGGUGAGUAAUGCCUAGGAAUCUGCCUGGUAGUGGGGGACAACGUCCGGAAACGGGCGCUAAUACCGCAUACUAUCAGAUGUGCCCAGAUGGGAUUAGCUAGUAGGUGGGGUAAAGGCUCACCUAGGCGACGAUCCCUAGCUGGUCUGAGAGGAUGACCAGCCACACUGGAACUGAGACACGGUCCAGACGCCUACGGGAGGCAGCAGUAGGGAAUAUUGCAAAAUGGGCGCAAGCCUGAUGCAGCCAUGCCGCGUGUAUGAAGAAGGCCUUCGGGUUGUAAAGUACUGUCAGCGGGGAGGCGUUACCCGCAGAGAAAGCACCGGCUAACUCCGUGCCAGCAGCCGCGGUAAUAC